UCUCUGCAUUUUCGUCAAACCAAGAAACCGGACAGGAAUAAAUUUGAUGGACGUUUAGUUGUGGUGCUCUAAAUUUCUUUUUGUUACUUUGAUAUAUCUGGAUAGAUUUCAAUUUUAAUAUUUAAAAAGAAUAGUCUUCACAGAGAUGAGAUUGUUACUUCAGGUUUCAAUGAAGAAGGAAUUAUUCUUAUUAUUAGUUUUACAUAUCGUUAUCGUUAUGUCGGGAUUCUCCGGCUCAACAAUUAGACGGAUGCCAUGGAAGAGAACGAGGCCACAAAUCAUAUCUGUCAACCAUGGGGCAGAGAAGGAAACGUAUCUUGAUUUAGGCCAAAGUGAAAAGAUAAGUGUAGAGGAUGCAGCUAAGUUUUUGUGUUAUGACCUUUCUAAAGCAGCAAUAUUUAUUCAGGAUAAUUUUGACUUAGAUGGGGAUGGUUAUCUCAACCGAGAAGAAUUAGUAGCAUCCAAUCAGAAAUAAGAAUACAUGUAUGAUAAAUUAAUAUACGCGUAGCUUUAUAUAAACCAUUGUCAUCAUAUUUAUCUUGCCCAUAUUCAUUUCCCCAUACCAUAAACAACCAUCGCUGAAGUAAUGUCUACAAUAAGCUAUAGACAGCAUAAUACUAUAACUAGCUUAUUCGUUAAUAAAAUAAUUCCAUUAGUAUGGGCGCCAUGAGCUUUGCUAACAGAGAGAAAAAAUGUAUAUUUUCCCUUAAUACUAUCAAUUUAUUCUCUAUAGUGUAGUUCUAAAUCCCAGAUGAGGAGCAAAUCUUAUAAUAUCGACCCGAAACGCACAAAUAGCUUGAAAUAUCCAAAUAUCAAUCCAGAAAAUCUCUGUAGAAAAGGAAACAAUAGCCAAAUAUGUUUUGUGGUUUAUUGACCUAAAGAACAGCACAUUAGAGUGUAAAAUCAUUUUGUCGAAUGACUUUUAACAGUUGUUUAAGUUUAUCGAGAAACGAUAGACAAAUAAGAAUUGCCCGGAAAUUGUGAACUAGACUGUAUUUGUGUUGCUAUGUAUUUUUAAUUUCUUAAUGUUGUUUUUGCCCUGAGCCUUAAUGGGUGUCGUAUGUAAGACAGUGUGUGCUUGUUCUUUUCAGAAGACUCAGCACCACUUAAGUCUCGUAUAGAUAACAGUUUUAUAUUCAGUUUGACAAGUGAAAUCCAUCGUUGUAAAAGACAUUGACACUCAGGUUAACACUUUUGAAUGUCUUUGAUGUUUUUAUCUACUCUUAUUUCCAUCUAUUGUUCAAUACUUUUAUAAAUGUGUACGUUGACUUAUAAGACCCAAUGAAGUUUCAAACAAUUAGAAUCUGUCUACCUACUAAUCAGUUUGAAAUGUAUCGAUUGUUAUAAUAUCAAAAAUCUAUAUCAAGGUUUACAUUUUCAACCGAUUACCAUUUCGCCCAGUUUAACCGCAUUUUAUUUAAUUUUCUAAAGAGAUCAAAGCCACUCUAUUUUGGGGAACAUUUGCAAUACGAUAAAUGAGUGAGCGAGCACUGGCCUAGUUUAGAAUUAACUUAUAUAAUUAAUUAUUUUGAGCAGCUUACAUUGCAAUCUGGAACAAUAUUGUAUUGUUUGUCUGUAUUAAAAAUAUUGUAAACGUAAUUAUAUUCUAAUUAAUACUGUUUAGAUUGGUAUAUGAAUACUUUUGAAUGAUAAAUAGGUUAAAUUGUGGACGAAGGUUUUUUUUUGUCAAUAUUGUAAAUUGACGCCCUGAUUACUAAUUUCAGUGAAUAGACGAACAAAUCUGAGCUAAACUUAUUUAUCAAUCUAUAAUUUUAUAGAAUAUUCUGUAUACAGUAGCAGGGUUCCCGCCAUUGAGACAAAUCAUUACACCUAUUUCAAUUAUCGUUUCUUUUGAUAAGUGCUAAUAAAAACAAGUA